UGAGUAACCUGCCCCAGACUCUGGAAUAAGCGCUGGAAACGGCGUCUAAUACCGGAUAUGAGCACCUGCCGCAUGGUGGGUGUUGGAAAGUUUUUCGGGUGGGGGAUGGGCUCGCGGCCUAUCAGCUUGUUGGUGGGGUAAUGGCCUACCAAGGCGUCGACGGGUAGCCGGCCUGAGAGGGCGACCGGCCACACUGGGACUGAGACACGGCCCAGACCUCCGUACGGGAG
rnacentral:rRNA from 1 species